rnacentral:hammerhead_ribozyme from 1 species
AUCCAACUGACGAGUCCCAGACAGAACAACACGCACGUCCUGUAU